rnacentral:rRNA from 1 species
AAUGAACGCUGGCGGCAGGCCUAACACAUGCAAGUCGAACGGAUCCUUCGGGAUUAGUGGCGGACGGGUGAGUAACGCGUGGGAACAUACCCAAAGGUACGGAAUAGCCUCGGGAAACUGGGAGUAAUACCGUAUGUGCUCGAAAGAGGAAAGAUUUAUCGCCUUUGGAUUGGCCCGCGUUGGAUUAGGUAGUUGGUGGGGUAAUGGCCUACCAAGCCGACGAUCCAUAGCUGGUUUGAGAGGAUGAUCAGCCACGCUGGGACUGAGACACGGCCCAGACUCCUACGGGAGGCAGCAGUGGGGAAUCUUAGACAAUGGGGGAAACCCUGAUCUAGCCAUGCCGCGUGAUCGAUGAAGGCCUUAGGGUUGUAAGGAUCUUUCAGGUGGGAAGAUAAUGACUGUACCACCAGAAGAAGCCCCGGCUAACUCCGUGCCAGCAGCCGCCGUAA